UACGGAGGGCGCAAGCGUUGUUCGGAAUCACUGGGCGUAAAGCGCGUGUAGGCGGUUCAGCAAGUCGGCUGUGAAAGCCCGAGGCUCAACCUCGGAACUGCAGCCGAAACUGCCGGGCUCGAGCCCCGGAGAGGGUGGCGGAAUUUCCGGUGUAGAGGUGAAAUUCGUAGAUAUCGGAAGGAACACCAGAGGCGAAGGCGGCCAUCAGGACGGUGACUGACGCUGAGACGCGAAAGCGUGGGGAGCAAACAGG
rnacentral:rRNA from 1 species